UACCGGGAGGCAGCAGUGGGGAAUAUUUAGUACAAAUGGGGGGCAACCCCUAAUUCCCAGCCCUUGCCCGCGUGUGUGAAUGAAAGGCCUUUCGGUUGUUAAAGCUGCCUUAACGUCGAUGGAAGGGAAGCUGUACUUGGUUUAAUACCUGAGAAAGAGUGACCGUACCGCAGAAAGCCGU
rnacentral:rRNA from 1 species